AACUAUAACGAUCCUAAGGUUAAUUGCUAGCUUUAGUAAAACUGAACUAUAUGCUGGAAAAUCCUCGGGCCUCUUCUUUCCCCAGUUGCUUCGUGCUAAAGCGGGCAGAUGAAACUAUAAAGCAAAAAGAGGCUCAUCACUUUUUUUUACCGGAACUCCGUUCCGGCUUAAAGUGAUGAAAAAGAUGUCUUGUACGCUCGUAUUUUGCCACGAGCCGUGAUAAUCAAGCGUACAUGGGGACAAUCAGCAGGGAAGGAUGUUUGAUACACGCAGAGUAGAACUGGCAGUCUAGAAUCGGUCGGUAUCGCUAAACAUAACCCUCAGAGACUAUACGUUCGGAAGUCUUAAUAAUCAUAAUAAUAGGAGGAAAUUGAAAAUGGACAUUAAUCCUCAAUGGAUUACAGGUUUCGUAGAUGGGGAAGGUUGUUUUAGUGUAAGUAUUCUUAGAAAUAAUUCGUUGCGCUAUGGCCAUCAGCUUCAACCAGAAUUCGUAGUGACCCAACAUAAAUUAGAUGCAAAUGUUUUAUAUGCAUUAAAAGACUACUUUAAAGUUGGAUCAGUCGUUGUGAAUCAUGGGGAACGGCUUUGCUAUAAAGUCAAAAAUAUUGAUCACUUUAUAACCGUCAUUAUACCAUUUUUCGAAAAACAUGAGCUAAAAACAAAAAGAAGAAUUGAAUUUCUUCGAUUUCGAAAAAUCUGCUUGCUGUUAAAAGCAGGUAGACAUUUAGAAUCGCAGGAAGGAUUCGAGAAAGUGUUGGAUUUAGCAAAAAAACUCCGUAUCAAUGAGAAAAACUACCAGGAAUCUAUCAAACGUUUUGAAGAAACUGGCGAGUAAAAAAAAUAAGAUUUAAGAUAGAGUCCAGCCUAUUUUGAAGAAAAAUGGGGUAAAUCUGAGCGAAAUUCAUUGUCAAGUAAGUUUUGACC
rnacentral:ncRNA from 15 species